rnacentral:tRNA from 1 species
AUAAAGAUAAGCUAAUAAAGCUAUUAGGUUCAUACCCUGUUUAUAAAGGUUUUAAUCCUUUUCUUUUUA